ACCUCCUGGAAUUAGUGUCAGUUCAGAGCCAGUGUCCAGCGGUCCUGAAUGUCUGAUAAUUUCCCUUUCCCCAGUGCGCAGUCACCCUGAGAGAGGCUGCAUUCUCUUUGGAGAAGGCUAGGAGGAAGACUCACAGUGUCCAUCAUCGGCAGUGGACCGGGCUUCUUCCUUAAAGGGACCCCCCUUUAAUUCAAGAGUCUGGGACUGGGAACUGGCCGAGUCUGGGAACUGACUUGGGGGCAUGUGACCCUCUGUUUUUCUAAUUCAGAAACGCCGUGAUUGCCAGCCAGCCACCGAUGCCAGAGGUCUCCGUUUGGACAAUCCCCCCACCUUGCUUGGACCCCGCUGUCCAUCACAGUCACCAUGCCAAUCUCGCCCCUGGGGGUCGUGCCCCUUCUUGGCCCCGCACCUGGACCCUGUUACUCCCACUGCAUUUAGCUUUCCCGUGUGAGAUCUGCCUCCAGAGAAGGGUGGUCCCAGAGCCUUACUGGGCUCCCCUCCUGGGUUGACUUCCCACGCUCACAGUGAAGAGUGUGUCCUCUGGACCCUGCCAGGUGAGCAGGUCUUGCUUGGUAAACCCAACUGGCACAUUCCAGCCUCCCUCGGCCUCGGUCCCUCUUCUGGGCACGCCCAGGCGUCUCCACUUCAUUUAGUACUGGCCACCACGAGGUCCAUGUUUGAGCCAACUAACCAACGAACAGCCCUAUCUGAUCUCUCAGACUGAACACCACACCCAGAUGGACACACUACGUUUGGCGCCCGUGAGAGACACAAGGACCGUGUUUGGUAUGAAGUUGGACGCACCGCACUGUGGAGUCAGAAGCCUGAAAGGGGAGAUGCCUUGAUGAAAGGUGGUCCCUCCAGUCCUCGGGUCAGACAGUCUUGUUGACGGCGUGCGGAGUAAGGAAAGAAACACAUAGGUCAGAAUCCUGGGAAGCCCCCAGCAGUUAAGAGAUGAGCAAAAGAGGGGUGUUGUGGAAGUCAGGGGAGGAGAGAACUUUAAGGAGAAGGAGGGGUGACAGUGUGAAACCCCGAGCAGCGAUGAAGCAGAGCCAGGAGUGGAGACCAUCUGAUUGCAUUUGUAGGUUAAGUUUCAGUUCCACAAGCACCAGAAGUCGCCCUUCCUUCAUGGCUGAGUGUCUGCCACGGUGCUUCGCGUGAAGACCUCAAUUGAUGCUUGAUGAGCAGUCCUUCCAGGAAUAUAGGGAGAGCUCGUCCCGGAGAAGAAAUUACUUUGGGCAAAACUGUCACAGAUUUUCAACAGGCUAGUGAAGAGAAAUAGGCAGGGAAUAGUCUUUUUUUGAUGAUCUUGAAAUAAAAGGUCACAGGAGCACACAGGUGCUCACACAUACACAUGCACACACACAAGCUCCCAGGCAGGGCUGAGAACCACUGGCUUACACCUCCUACUUCUAGGUAAAUGCAUCUAGGGAGCCAGCCUCAGUGUCCUCCACGGCCGUCCUGCGGCUUCGUUUUUGGAGGCUGAACCUGGAUCCGUCUGCAGGGUGUGCAAACAGACAAGUGUGCCCAGGCCCGAGCAUCUCUCCGAUGAAGCAGUGCUUCCAGCUCUUGACCAGGUCAGACACCCAGUUAGCCCUGGAGAGCUGAGCCUCUGGACGUGAGGCUGCAGCUGCCCCGGGCCCUCUGCACCAGGGCCACACGUCAUCCCAAGCACAGGGACCCGGUGACUGCCCUGGCCCCUCCUUGACUUUAUUCUUGCUCUCUAUGUAGAUAAAAGCAACCUCUCCAAGGAGAGAGGCUGGAAGAGCCUGACUGACCCUCUUGCUCAGGAGGACAAACCUGUGUCUCAGCCGGUGACAUCUGCUGGCGUGUUGAUGGGUGUGCCCUGUCCCCAGGUACUUCAGUGACCACUGCAGAUUUCUCUGAAGCACAAAUAAUUUUAAUCAGUUUUGUUAAAAGGUCAGACUGCCCUGCUAGAGUGCUUUGUGAAAUGCUGUUAGGAAAUCAAACAAACAGUGACAAUCUGUCAGCACUGCAGAAACUUCUUGGAGUUACUGCUCCUUGGAGAAAGGACUGGAUUUCUCUUAAAUGUUGCGAUAACCAUGCCAUUUGUUGUGGGAUGAAUUGUGCCCCCCCAGAUCCAUGUGUUGAAGUUCUGACCCCCAGCACCCUGGAGUGUGCCCUUAUUCGGAAAUGGGGUCUUUGUGGAUGGAGCUAGUAAGGACGAGGUCACGGCGCACAGAGGUGCUCCGUCAGGAGGCACGUGGUACCCACCUCCCCCAGGAUUGUGGCGUUAAGGCCACGUCAUCGGGACAUCUGCCCGCUCCUCUACUGCAGGCCUGCCUUUCCGCGCUUCAUCAUCAUGAUGAUUCCCUGCAGACGGACCCUGAGAGUCGGCAAACAUCCCGCAACUUGCCAAGCUGACUCGCCGGCCUGGUUACCACCGUGACUGUCAGCAAUCCAUUUUCCCCGUUAGUCUUAAAGUGAAACCUCCCCACUUUCCCCAAUGAUACAUUUAUUCAUUUGUUUAUGUCAUUCAAACCAGUCUUUUUAAACAUUAAAAUGUAUUGAAUAACAAAUUUCAAAAUCGAAUGAUUUAUUAAGUUUAUUUUAAAAUUUCUAGCUGUUUGACUAGAAUCGACUAGUUUCCCUACAAAACGUCAUCGGAGAAAGCCUGCCCUAAAUGUUGGGUUCGUGUAUUUCUGUCCCCUCACUGUCUUCCCUGCCGCCCCGCUAUUUCUGGUUACAGAGUUCAAGUUCCUGGUAACAGAAGUGGAGAUACGAGCAAGACAGUGUCGCACAGAGUCACUUGCGGGUAUUCGGCGCCAGCGUUAAGGCAGGGGAGGCACUUAUCCUAUUCGUUCGGGAAACAGAACAUUUAAAGCUGUAGGAUUUCCUGAGCGGGGGGCUGUUUUGUUCUGUUUUUUUUACUGAAUGGCAUAGUUUAGAUAGUUACUACCUAAAAAUGAACUGGCGCCCCUCAGACAGCAGGCAGUUCCCUGAGAGUGUAUCGUCCACAUGCCGUCGUGAGGGCAUUUACAAACUAUUUAGAAAACACGUUUUUUUGUUCAGAACCCAUUCCUCCUGUUUGGCUGAGAGCUAGCAUUCCCUAUCACGUGUCACUGUUGACCAGAAGGUCACUAGCUUUUAUAAAUUCAGUUUUCUUUGGAAGCUUCUGUAGCGCCGCUCGUGGCCAAGGGUGAGAUGCAUAAAACCAAGUGGAGCCGGUCAGGACUCCGUCUUUCGGUCAGAAACUACUUCAGCGCGCAGAAUGACACAGCUUUCCGUCAGAGCGUGGGCUGCUUCACCAGCCAGCGUGGCGCGAGCACGCGAGGCCCCGCCGAGGCCGGGAACCUGAGCCCGGGCAGCUGACCGUCUCAGACCCCGUGUCCUCCCCGCGGAGCUCGCGGCCGGAGCGUGCGUGUCAGGCAUCCGGUACGUCCAGACCUGCCAGUAAAGGGCGGCUCGCCCCGCGAGGCGUCUCCGAGGAACCGGGGAAGGAGCGGCAGACAGCCGGGCGGGGGCAGGUCUGUCCGGCCUGCGGCGUCUCCUCGGCCUCGUCCUGUCACCGGGGCUGUUUCCCAUCCCACCACGAUGGGGGAGCACUGGACCCGCUGGCGGAACCAAGCCCGACUCCCUGGGCCGCAGAGAGCGCUAGACUUUCCGCAAGGGGUUCCGCCGGGACGGCCUGCCCUGUUGGGCAGUGGAGGUGGAGCCAGGCAGAGCCACAGGUGAGCUGUCACCGGGACCUGCGCAAAGAGCUGCCCCUGCACGACAGGCAGGGGGUCUACACCAGCUCCCCCCGCCCCCAGGAGAGGCCGAGUUUACGAAGUUCUCAGAGGUCUGGCUGGCCAGACGCUCCCGUAUCCAAAUGCUUCCCAUGUGAAGGGCUGUGAACAGGUGCGACCAGGCCGCAGGUGGGUUUCCUAACCGACAGAUGGGGCCGCACACCAGGUGGGCCACUUCCAGCCCGCCGAAAGGCUUUGUUUGAACCACAGUGUUUUUAAGCUCUUGUCAAUUGGUUGGGCAUAUUUGAGAAUAGAAAUAGUUCACAGAAAAUAAGGAUUUCUGUUUGUCUUGAAGAAACAGAGCCAUGUGGCAAUCUUGGGCCUGCGCAUGGUGAAAAUUCCACUGUCACCCAGCGCGGUCCCUCGGAGACCCCUCCCGCUGUGAGUGCCGCUGGCAACCCCGUGCCUUCAUCGUCUUCUCUUAAAUUGGCAACAUCAAAACCUACAAGCCCAAGAAAGAAAUACAGUAAAUAACCAUUAGAACAGUAAAGGGAAACGCAGAGCAGAUGACAUGCUACAAAGAAACCUACUCCCAGGCGGAAACCAGGGAUGGAAUAUGCCCUCCAGGCGGACGGGUGGCUUCGGCAAAGCCCUUGACGACGACGUGUCCCUGUAAGGGAGUUCACUGGGCGGGUAAGAAGUAAACAAGAGAGGUGCUUCACUUCACAGAAGGUAAGGAUCCAAGUCUCCUCUUCCCCUUGGGUGUUUGCACCGGAGACACACCUGCAGGCGUCCCCAGGCCUCCCUGACGCACCACACGCAGCCUCUGUUGGGGCAUUCUUUUCCAGUGAGGAGAAGGAACACUGUUUCAACUGCGUUUCAAGUUAUAACCAAGAAUGGGAGACGUUUGUCUGGGUUUUAUAAAAACACUGGUUAUAGAGUGUUCCUGAGUUUUUUAAUUUGCUAGAAAACUUUUUGCCAGAAAAAUCCUGCAAUUUGGAUGCCUUAAGGAAAUCACUGUAACCUCAUUUUAUCCUUGUAGGCUGGAGUUUAUUUCUUACUAAUAUGUGUUCAGUGAGGUCAUGUAACUCUCCAUCUGAUUCUGCAGAUGUGAUGUUUCAUGUGUCAUGUGUCUGUGGCUAAAAGUAUUACAAAAGUAGAAGCCAUUUUGAAAGUGGAGGCAAAUUAGGUAAAGAAGUGGAUAAUUCUGCUUCUCUGUCUGGUAAAACAAUGCACCUUUCAGAGCGGUGGUUCUGGACUAUUGCCUCCCGGGACACACCGGCCAAGUCUGGAGACACUUUUGUUGUCUCGAGUGGGGUGAGGGUGCUGCUGGCGUCUGGAGCACCCACAGCACACGGGACGGCCCCACAACCGAGGAUGCUCUGGAGAAAUGAACGGAGAAGACAGUCAAGAGACACUGUUUCAGAAAGUUAAGAGAUUGGCUGAGAGAUGAUUAGGUCAGAACUUGAAGCAAACAAGUCAUCUGCAUACUUUGAGCAAAGAAAACCGUCCUUAUUCAAAACUGUCUGCAAUGGCAGAGCUCUAAGUCACCCAGUGACCGCACGUCUUCCACAGAGGGCGUGGGAGUGACGGGGUUUUCCAGGGCCCUGCUGCCGCUCAGCCGAGGACUAGGGUCACACUCGGCUGCUGGACACCCUGCGACACUGCUCUGGGAAGAGUAUGCGCUGACUAGCUUAUGAGCAAAAGAACAGCUUUGAAUAUUCUCAGUGUUAGCUCCGUCACCUCCCUAACUAUCACUAAACAGAAACUUUAUUUACUGUUACACUACACAGCUUACUUCUUUAAUUAUAGCUCUGAUCUGUUUAUAAGCAGCAGUGCACGCUGAACGGGCUUUGAGGGUCGGACAGCCGCAACCUGACGGCUGCGUUGCUGCCGACAUACCGGGCGUCAGCACUGGUUUCCUGACUCGACAGGGUAUUUCGUGGCCAUAUAGGCUUUGCUUGUGAAGUGAUGGAGUACGGUGACCUCAGCUUACUCUCAGAUGGUUCAGGGGAAAAUGUUUCAUUGUAUUGUUGCAAGUACUGCUACCUGCGAUUUUUAUGUAGGUUUAAGUUUUUUUUAAGUUCGUUUAAAAAAGUAAUUGGGAUGCCUGCUGCUAAGGAAGUGAAAACUCAAACAGAAGACAGGAAGGAACGUAUUUAACUGAGAGGGUCUGAAUGUGACCGUGACACUGGCCAAUUCAGAGAAGUGGCUGGCGAGGAGCGGUUCUCUGACUUACUGCCGUCUGCACCACGCCCAUCGGCCUCAGGCAGUGAUGCCCGCAGAGCGUGCUCCCCUCUCCAGGAAGUCCCCAGUGAAGCCAUUGGCUCCAACAGACGUGGCUUCUCAUCUCCUUUUCUCGAGGCUGCUUUUCCCAUUUGACUUUUUGGAAGUUUUAAUCCGAUGCUCGGGCGCCAAGUAAGAUUAUCAUGUCUGGUCCCAGCUGGACUUUUGAAACAACAAUUUACAAGUGCUCCUCCAGGGCCAGGGCAGGACAAGUCACUCUUUGAGCCCCUUCCAGUUCUGUGAUUCUGGAUAGGAAACCUAGGGCAGGAGCAGAGAGGGCCUUGGGGACACUGGUUCCGGUCAGCUGCUCCCGCCCCCGCCACCUGCUCUGAGCCUGGAGCCGGGGGCAGAGACACAGAGUCCAACCAACUCAGCUUUCCGGGCAGUGAGUUGAAAGGAAGUCUUUAAAUAGUCGCAGCUGCUGGUUUCUCAAGGAAAUUUCUGGGAACUUGUCUACUGAGUUCAAGUAACAUUUGGAGAUUUUCCUUAAGAAUAUUCUAUCAAGAACUAUUAGGCAUUCAUCUCAGAAAGCAGUUUAGUCCCACAGUCAGAACGUCAUGUCAUGCACUCACACUGAGAAGCUGGGUAGACGGGCGGACAGCAGCCAGAACACACAUGAAAAUAGAACUUCGGCCCGGAGCGUGCAGCAGCUGGCCCAGGAAACCAGCCCUCACCUGCAAACGGCCACCCAGGGAGCCAGCCUGAGGCGAGGCCGACGCGCAGGAGCCAGACAAUGAUCUCAAGUGACAAUCCAGGAAGCUAAAUGGUAACUUCUGGAACAAUCGGCCCCCGAAGGCCAGUACUUGAUCAGUGUGUCAGUUUCCACUGCCUUUUGUCCCUGCUUAGAACUCGGGACCCUCAGAGGCUGAUGAAGCUGUUCUUCUAGCCCAGCGGCUCUCCCACGUCAGCUCGGACCUCUCUGGGAGCCCGGGGCCUGGGGGCCGCCCGUCUGUCCGACGAACCCUUAGAGCUUCUUUCAGGGCCUCUGAGGGUAUUGCCGAAGGAGCAGCUGCGAGGCCCACCUCAGCUCCCUAAAGCACCCGUCCUAAAAGCCGAGGCGGGGAAGGAAAGUAAGGCUGGGGAACAAGGGGCCCAGACGCCCGGUUACAGCAGGCAUCACGCCGGGAGGUUCACCGCGCCAGCCUCCGACCCCCGGCACCCGGCUUGAGUCUCCCGAAGGCUCCGCGACGCAGGACUUGUCAUCACUGCACAGGCAGGAAGGCGGAGGCCAAGGGAAGUUAGACAGUCCCGGUCGGGGGGAGAAGGGGCAGGAUUCGGGGCCAAGCUGGUUGGCUCCGGGGCCCUGGUGGGCGUCCUCACCGCACCCAUGUGGCCUGUGCUUCCGGUGUGUGCCGCUCCGCCACCCCCGGGCUCAGCAGUCGGGACCCCGGGCAGAAAGGACAGCGGUACUUGCUGGACCUCAGAGGCUAAUGCCCCCAGAGUCCUCCGCUCCUCCAGCCAGGAAGCCAGAGGGGAGAACCAGGUGAGGUGGAGCCCGCGGCCUGUGGACCUGUGCCCACAGAUCAACUCUUUCAUCAACAGAACCAGGCAGAAUCCACACCCUCAGUGAGUUUCCUCCUCCUCACCCCUUCACCCUGAGCUCCCCAUCCCUGACCCUCCAGAAGGUCUUGACCCUUUAGACCCUCUGGACCCUGACCUCAAAUCCCUCUCCUCCACAUCCGGACCCACCUCCUCAACAAUUUCCUUUAACCCCUGAAAAUCCCUCAACUUGCCCAGAAAAUACCUUAACCGCUCCACUGCCUUCUUGUACCGCCUCUUCCCUCGCAGGGGCUCCAGAGCGCGCUGGGCCUGACCUCCAGGCACGAGGCAGAUUUACGUGAAUGCUGAUGUCCGGGCCUGCCGAGAGGAAGGCAUUCCGCUCACUUCCCGCUGCUCUGACAUCAGACGGCAUCAGCGCCGGCCCCAGCACCCAGUGCGGGUGCAGCCUGACCUCCCCGGCCCCCACCACAGUGACCCCGUGUGCUCAGGACAGUAGCAGGUCUCUGAAACUGUAAAGCCCUUUCCCUGCCUUCCCUGCUUCCCUCUCAGAAGGUUCUACCAAAUUUAGAGCCGAAAACACCCAGGAGCAUCUACAGCCCCAUCAGAGGGCGGGCUUCUCAGGGCUUUCCUCCCCACACCGGGCGGCUGGGGCCAUGCAGCGGGCCAGAUGCUCCCUGGAGAAGCCACCCCCCCACCCCGGCCGAAAGAACAAAAGACCCUCCCCUGGGGCCUGCUGGCAGAGGAUGGCCCAGUGGGACCCUGAGGAAGCGGCUUAGACCACAUACUCAGAGGGAGGGGAGGACAACCUGAAGCCACUGUGGAGGGAUUUACAGAAACCGGGAAUUAAAUCAGAGGCUCCGGGCGUUGGAAUCCUUUGACUUCUGCCUUGUUAAAAAUCUUUCUGGUAUUAAAAAAAAAGCAAAUCCAAAAUAGUGUGGCUGGAUGGGCAGGAAGAUCUGCUAAUGUCAUCACUGAGGCUGCCACCCAAUUCUCUGAAGAAUUAGAAAGAACAGUCCUUGUCUUACUCCUUGAGUCUUUACAGAGCAGAAGUGUGGCUCCAGAAGUCACCCAAGGACCACCCAGCCUUCUCACCACCCGCACUCAGGAUGCUUGCAGGCACUGCAAAAUGCUGGACACUGUGAAGGGGCUGUCCUGCUUCUUUUCCAGAGGAACUUCCUCCUUUGCAAAAAAGGAGGAGAACACGAGGAGGAAAUUGCCCUAGUUCUCUAGUAACAGGAGACUUCUACCUGCUUUGUCAAAGGAAGAUCAAAAUGGCGCCGGUGUUGCCAGGAGAGCCUCUGAACCGGAGCCGCAGGCCCCUGGGGAGGCGGGGCUUACGCGUGUCUCAGCCCAGAUGGAAUCUCAACUCUGACCACUCACCGUCUUGACGCAGGCGUCCAGAACAUCUGCACGGUGUUCUAGAAACUCAAGACACUUAUCGGACCCUUCCCCUAAAUAACUUUUGACAGCCCAUCCCCUAAGGACAAAUAUUUCCUCUCUUCUGUCAGAGUCAUCACAAUUCUUGCCAGACGACUUUGACAGCCUUGUGGCUUUUUGCCUUUAGAAGCCCCUGACGCUUUCUCUUCCCUGGAACACUCCUGUAGUUUCACCUGAAUCUGUGUCCCUCAGGUUGCAAUUCUUAAAGACCCCAAUUGAAGCUCUUCGUUCUCUGCAGCACCCAUCCCGACCGCUGUUUGACAGCAUCCGUCUGUGUUUAUACGUGCUGUGCGUGUGUGGCUUCUUCUAUCUCAGGAGGAUGCUGCCAACUUGACUUAUAAAACUCUUGAAGAGCUCUGUUUUAAUUGGCUUAGGGAAAAAUAAUUAUUUAUACAAAUUAAAUAUUCCUAAAAUUCUUAUCAGUACAGGAGCUCGCCCAAGUGUUUUCAAGUUCAUGCGAUCUGGGGUAACAGCCAUCUUGGAUUAUUGGGCCAUUCUUUUUUUUCCCCCUAUUUUUGUUUUCAUUUUUUUAGAUUCCACCUAUAAGUGAUAUCAUAUGGCAUUUUUCUUACUCUUUCCCGUCCACUUCACUUAGAAUGACGACCUUCAGUAUUGCACCAUUCUUAGUGAGAGGUUGUGUGGGAAAGCCUUGCUUUACCGUCUGAACACUCCACGCAGGAGACGAAGAUUCUGUGCCCUUCGGGUUAUCUUUGCCAUGUCUUUGAUUGUUAAAGAAAGCUGAGUCUUCCCAAUGUUGAAAAUGCUAAGUUUUUUUUUUAAGCAAUCACAUUAUCUCCUAAAUUUUUUUCUUUUGAAAUCUUUUAUUGUCACUUUGCUUAAAUGAAUAAGUAUUGUUUUAUAGUGAUCUGUGAUCCUAUUUAAUCAAAUGUUCAAACCUUUUGACAUUUUGGACAACUUCCCAAAAUCAGAUUCCAAAUGUCAUCUUCCUGACCUUGAGACUUUAUGAAAUUUCCCAGAGGAUCCCAAAAGAUCUCAAAGGAUUUGGUCUCUCACUUUGUAAAAAGAGAGAUGCUAAACUGACAAGGUUUGCUUGAUACGUUAAGUUGUGUUGGAAACAUUCUCGAUUGAAAAGUGAGGCUUAAUCUUCUCUAGGUUAUAUUUGUAAGGAUGAAAUGUUGUUGUUUCAGAAAUUGUAUGAAGUUCCUAGAAAUCUGUCAGCAUCCUUGCUUUCCAUGGUUUGUCCUAAUAUAAUGUUACCAAUCGUUCCUCUUAAUACGUUGAUGUCACAGGGACAACCAAGUUGCCUUGUCAGUUGCAAAUCCUCACCACAUCUUUAACCAGGGUCCUUUUAAGCGUUUUGUCAUUUUUCACUCUGAAUGCUCUUGUGAUCAACUACAGGCCAGAGUUCUUCAUCUUCAACAGAAAAGCACCGUCCUUGAGACUUGUGGAAGGACUUGUGGAAGGACAUGCUCUCUGGGAGGACAGGCUCCUGGUGACGCUGCUCAGCCAACUUUAAGAUUAUACCACUGGACUGGGUAAAAAAUCUUCAGAACUAACGGAGAAGCUGACAGAGUCAUAGAACUGCUGACCCAAGAUCGAGCAGAUCAAGAAUUAAUUACACGGGACUUAAUGAACUGACGGAGAGUGGUCAUGACUUUUGUGGGGUUUUUUGUUUGAAACUGCAGGUUCUUGAAUGUUCUGUUUUUUCCAAACUGUAAGAAGCCUUUUCCUCUUUCUCUUAAGCCCUUUCUGUCUCACCUGUGGAGCUCCCCUGUCAAAAAGCCCUGGGGCACUGGAUAGCUGACCCUCUGGGGGACCGGCUUCUCCCAUCCCAUGCCCUACCUGUUCCCAUGUUUUAAAUUUACAAUAAAGAGUGAACCCACAAACCCCUAAGCACCUCACCCAUGACCCUAAUAGAGGCAGAGCCCUGGCCCACAUGUGCUCAGUCUCUCUCCUCUUCUACCGUAACCUCACUGGGUGGCAGAGCUGGGAAAAAUUAAAACUGGGCUGAAUCCUGAAUUCUUCUCAUUUUCUCCAAUGUCUGGCUACAACUCUCCAAACUAAUGUUUCCAAUUUUUUCCCAUCUCUCUGAUUUGAAUCACUAAAAUGAAAGCUGCCCUUCUCCUGAAGCUGUGCAAGUUAAAGGUGGACAACCUGAUACAAACUUCAGAGAAGUCACCACAACAGCUCAUGUCUGGGUGACCUUCGUGUCUGUUGCCGUGUGGGCCACUCAGAAAGUUCAAGUUCACCAGGGGGUCUGGUGGCCUCACCAGAGACAUUCAAACUGCCAACCAGGAGCAUCUGUCAGAGUGUCGGCCUGCGCCUACUCCAUCUGAAGAUGCUUUGUGCUCGACGUCUAGAAAUCUUUACUGUGCUCGUGUGUCUCCUGGGGAUCGGGUGAAGACACAGAUUCGGAUUCAGGAGAUGAGAGCUGGGUCCUGAGCUCUGCACGCCUAACAAGCCUCCAGGUGAGCUGUGAAAGUCGCCAAAGGCUGUCCAGCACUGAGGAAGGAACCAGAACAGGAAACAGGCGUGAGCAGAGGCGACCUCCGCUUCAGGCCCCAGCAGCCGCACCCCUCAUUCCCGGUUACACACCUUGAGCACAGCGGUCCCCCACCGCACACACAGGCAGGGCCAGGCUCGCUUCCCGCUGUGAUGUCACACAGCCCGGGCAUUCCGCAGUGUCCUGGAGACCAAGGAGGGAAGAGCCGAGGGCCCUUCAGGAGAGGGGCCUCCUCCUGCAGCGGAGGGACCAUGGCAGCUAGUUCAGGAGUGACCGUCCUUGUCCUGCUGCUCUGCUGCUGGCGGGGAGCUGAGCUCCAGCCGAUAAGGUUAUUUCCAGGUACCGUCACGGGGGCUGUUGUAGAAAACAGGGGGGCCACAGCUUCCCCCAGGGUGCCUCCCCGAAAUUACCAUUUAUUCACGGGCGAAUGGAGCAAGUGGAAAAGUUGUUCUGUCUUUGAAGAAUUUUUCAGAUCUAAAACUCCGUGGGAGGAUAGCAUACAGUAUAUAAUUUAACUUUUUGUUACAGGAAUUUUCUAACUAACCCCAAAUUAGAGGAACGGUGGGAGCAAAGUCCAGCACCCGAUUUCAGUCCUGUCCUCCUCAUGCGCGCACGUGCACACUCGCGCUUCUGUUGUUACCGGAGUGUUUCAGCUCCGUCCGAGAUGUCUCAUCAUUUCCCGCAGACGCUGUCUUACUUACAUAAGGCAUUUUUAUUUCACAUUCCUACAGUGUCAUUAAGACACUUAUAAAAUUAAGACUCCCUGCAGCCCCCAAUACCGACCACACUCAAACCUCCGCCAGGUCUCAGAACGACCUUUACAAGUGGUGGGUUCGAAUCCCAGCCCAGCAGCCCCGCGUGCCUUUGGCUCCAGCCACUGUGUCCUGACCUCUCAGGAGCUGAGGAAGGGUCAGUGGACGAUGACUUCCCCGGAAUGUGACUCCCUGGCUGAGCAGGUGCAGAGGGGCGGGGCCUGCAUGACCCCCUCUUCUUGCCCGGAGGCUGUGAGCCCAGGUCCCCUCUCCCCCAGGGGGCCACCUCCCUCCUUCCCCGGGGGUCACCAGGGACGAGCUCAAGGACAGGGGCGCUGACAGGCUCCCCCCGCCCAGCUCCCCGGCUGGAGGAGCAGGUGGUGCCCAAGUUAACUGGGGGUCGGCCCAGCCUGGCCUGGGUCUGAGCAGGAAGGCAGGUGGUCACCCGCCUGAUCAUGUCACGAAGCAGCUAAUGUUUCCAGCUGCCUCUCCUCAAGAUGCUGAGUUUUGAGACGUUUACCGAGGACAGUGCCCUUCAGGUGCUGGGGCAUCAGAGGGUCUGUGACAGGUGGGAGGCGGUCACCCCCGCCGCUGCACGCCCCCAGCUGCCCAUUCCUUUUCUGACGGUCCGGCUCCCAGCGCCCUCGGGAGCUGCUCCCACGCACGGGUUACACUGAGCGCUCUGGACGCAGCCCCAGAGCCCGCCCCAUCUCCCGUCCAGACAGAGACGCCCUUGGGUGACCUUCAAGGGCUUCUCAGCUCGAGAGCAGCUAAAGGCAGAUGGGAAAUGGUUCUCUCUGCUCGGACUCCUGCCUCGGUGGGCCCGGGGUUGGCCCGACCACGAGGCAGGAAGGGGAGCAGCAGCCCUGGGCCUCCUGCGGGAGGAGGGGACCCCCCGUCCUCCCCACAUUAGCCAGCGCACAACCGCAGAACUCAACAGUGAGCCUUUCCCGGUGGCCAGGGUGUGCACUGUGCAAAUACGGAGAAAGAGCAGUGGGACAUUGGAAGGCGGGCACAGGGCCGGUGGAAAACUGAGUGAGGAAGAGGUGACAACAGGCAGAGCAGAGGGAACAGCCACACUUGACAAUGCACUUCAGAACCCGGGCGGAUAUCACAAAGCAUAAAUAUUUGUCUGCAUACGCUCCCGGGCUGGCACAAUGCCUCCAGUGUAAUUAGGGACACACACAGCAUGAAAAGAGUAUUUUUGACAAAGUGCUUGCACUAGCAGCUGUACCCAUUCGCAAUGACUCAUUAAUGUCGCCUCCAAAGAGAACUGUACUUUGUCUGCCCGUUUACGGAGGUCAGCAUGCUGGGAAGCGAUUGUCAUCGCAGCGCAGACCUUUUUGUGUUGUUUCCCCGCAUUGUUCUAAACCUCGUGUGUGCAGAUGAGCCCAUUGGUAUGCAGAUUGUCCAUCAUUAAAGCCAU